rnacentral:rRNA from 1 species
GACGAACGCUGGCGGCAGGCUUAACACAUGCAAGUCGAGCGCGUAGCAAUACGAGCGGCAGACGGGUGAGUAACGCGUGGGAACGUGCCUUUUGGUUCGGAACAACUGAGGGAAACUUCAGCUAAUACCGGAUAAGCCCCGAGGGGGAAAGAUUUAUCGCCAAAAGAUCGGCCCGCGUCAGAUUAGGUAGUUGGUGGGGUAAUGGCCUACCAAGCCGACGAUCUGUAGGUGGUCUGAGAGGAUGAUCACCCACACUGGGACUGAGACACGGCCCAGACUCCUACGGGAGGCAGCAGUGGGGAAUAUUGGACAAUGGGCGCAAGCCUGAUCCAGCCAUGCCGCGUGGAUGAAGAAGGCCCUAGGGUUGUAAAGUCCUUUCGACGGAGACGAUAAUGACGGUAUCCGUAGAAGAAGCCCCGGCUAAUUUCGCGCCAGCAGCCGCCGUAA